GGGUGACUAGUCUAGUGGUCAGGACGGUUCGUUGUGGUCUCGCUUCCAAGCAACCUCAUCCGAACAAACCCCGGUUCGAUUCCGGGGUCGCCCA